GACGAACGCUGGCGGCGUGCUUAACACAUGCAAGUCGAACGGAAAGGCCCUGCUUUUGUGGGGUGCUCGAGUGGCGAACGGGUGAGUAACACGUGAGUAACCUGCCCUUGACUUUGGGAUAACUUCAGGAAACUGGGGCUAAUACCGGAUAGGAGCUCCUGCUGCAUGGUGGGGGUUGGAAAGUUUCGGCGGUUGGGGAUGGACUCGCGGCUUAUCAGCUUGUUGGUGGGGUAGUGGCUUACCAAGGCUUUGACGGGUAGCCGGCCUGAGAGGGUGACCGGCCACAUGGGGACGGAGAGAGGGCCCAGCCUCCAAGGGGGGGAAGAGGUGGGGAAUAUUACACAGGGGGCGAAACCCGGUUGCAGCAGCCCCGGGGGGGGGAAGCAGGCUUUCGGUUUGAAAACGCCUUUCGCCUGUGACGAAGCGGGAGUGACGGUAAGGGAAAAAGAAGCCCCGGCUAAUUACGUG
rnacentral:rRNA from 1 species